rnacentral:rRNA from 1 species
GUGUCAGCAGCCGCGGUAAGACGGAGGGCGCGAGCGUUGUUCGGAAUCACUGGGCGUAAAGCGCGCGCAGGCGGGACUAGCAAGUCGGAAGUGAAAGACCGGGGCUCAACCCCGGGGCGGCUUCCGAGACUGCGGACCUGGGGACCGGUAGAGGCUGGUAGAAUUCCCGGUGUAGCGGUGGAAUGCGUAGAGAUCGGGAAGAACACCCGUGGCGAAGGCGGCCAGCUGGGCCGGAUCCGACGCUGAGGCGCGAAAGCGUGGGGAGCAAACAGGAUUAGAUACCCCCGUAGUCC